UCCUGAACCCAACAAAGAACUAAGGCCACAAAGGCAACCAAGUAGCCUGAAGUCCUAGAUAACUCCCACAUUAGGAGAGAAGAGACACAUGCACUGUACUCAAAGACAUCAUU